GCUCGUAGUCUGAGUUCUGUUCCGGACUGGUCGGGGAGGUCACCGCCCGGUGCUUCCCCGUCAGGUUCCGAACAGCCUCCGCCGCGAGCGGGGGCCAAGCCGGUUCUGCCGGGGUGCUCUUGACCGAGUGUCCCGCGCGGCCGGCCGGUUCACCUUGAACAAAUGAGAGUGCUCAAAGCAGGCUACUCUUGACACUAAAGCCCGAAUGUUAACUGCAUGGAAUGAUGGAAGAUGAUCUCGGUUCCAUUUUGCUGGGUGGUGGGAAUCCGAGUUAAUGAUAAACAGGGACUGUCGGGGGCAUCCGUACUACGACGCGAGAGGUGAAAUUCAGUGACCGUCGUAGGACGAACAACAGCGAAAGCAUUUGCCAAGAAUGUCUUCGUUGAUCAAGAACGAAAGUUAGAGGAUCGAAGGCGAUCAGAUACCGCCCUAGUUCUAACCCUAAACGAUGCUGACCAGCUAUUCGCCGUCGUUAUUCCCAUGACGUGGCGAGACGCCCCCGGGAAACCUCGAGUCUUUGAGUUCCGGGGGUAGUAUGGUUGCAAAACUGAAACUUAAAGGAAUUGACGGAAGGGCACCACCAGGAGUGGAGCCUGCGGCUUAAUUUGACUCAACACGGGAAACCUCACCAGGCCCGGACACCAGAAGGAUUGACAGAUUAAGAGCUCUUUCUCAAUUUGGUGGGUGGUGGUGCAUGGCCGUUCUUAGUUGGUGGAGUGAUUUGUCUGGUUAAUUCCGGUAACGAACGAGACUCUGG
rnacentral:rRNA from 1 species